rnacentral:rRNA from 1 species
AUGUUGUUUAUACGUAUUGACAGGGAAACUGACCAGUUGGGCCCGCCCGUCAGGUGCCACUGUUGGCCGGUUGGCGCGUGCCCGCGCGCUGACUCGGACAAGGCUGAGUCGCACCGUUUAGUCGCGGCCCGAGCCUCCGUCUCUGUCUCCGUCGUGCCCGUCGCCACCACCGACCGCCCGCGCCGCCGUGAGCUUGAGGUCCGCUCCUCCACGACCGCGGCCCCGCUCCGGCCCCACACGCGCACCUUCCCCACCCUGGCCCGCCCCGCCGCGCCCGCCUCGCGCUCCUCCAUCCGCUUCAGCCGCGGCGCCAACUCCUCCCCUGCCUCCUCCAUCGACGCCGCAGCCUCCUCCGCCUUCGCCGUCGCGGCUAUCCUCAUGCCCCGCCUCCUCUCCCCUUCCGCCGCCGCCUCCUCCUCAUCCCCUUCCCCCUCCCCGUCAGCCCCCGUGUCCUGCCCCGCCACCGUCUCGGCGCCCCGCGCUGGCGCCCCGGUGGCCGUGGAGCUGCCGUGUGGGAUGGCCGUUGGCUCGCGCAUCACGGUGAUGGCCCGGCCAACGAGGAGGGACGGGGCGGCGUCGUGGCAGUUCAUGGUGGAGCUGCUCGGCACCAAGGCCGUCCAGGGGGAGGAGCCGCCCAGGAUCAGAGGCGACUUCAGCGGCCGCCCCGUCAUUGAGCUCAACACCUGCUACCGCAUGUAG